GCGGAGUUGAACUGCGCUGGCUCCACGUGGCGAAGCCGACCGAGACCCACCCUUCGCUGGGAUCGGAUCGGGGAGGGGGGACCGACCGCAGUUAGGGGAGGAGACCAGCAGCGACGUUUGCUCGAACUGGAUCUGGAGGUUCCCCGCGGCUGCCAGCAACUCCCUCCCUCCCUCCCUCCGUCUCCAGGCCCUUGGUCCCCUCCCCGCAUUUGGUUGCCAAGAGGAGACGGAGCGAGCUCGGGGCAAGGCAAGAGCAUCUGCGCGGAACGGCGGCGUCCCCCGUUCCGAUCUCCCUGCGGCAGGACUGAAGGCUCCCGGGGCGAAAGGAGGCUGCGGGGAAGCGGCGCUGUCCCUUCUGGGCGCUCCGGCUUCCCUUCGCUACUUGGCAGCCGCUGCUGGGCUCCGUUAGAAGCAGCCGCGCGAGAUUGGACGGCGCGAACUGCUGGCAAGUCCUGCCGUCGCCCGCUGAGCUCGGAAGCCUCGAAGCUGCUCGGUUGGAGCUCCAGGGCGAGCUGGGAAGAGGAGACCCUGCCUGGCUUCUACCAACGCCGACUUCCCUCGUUCUUCCGACGAGCCUGUGAUCGACUCGUCCUCCUUCUCGUUCCCUUCCUCAAGUCAAGUCCUCGACCGUAUUUCUGGGCUGGUGCUUCUCUCCUUCCCUCUGCCUCUAGCCUCUUCCCCACUCAGCUGCGCCUUCCAGAGAAGUCAGAUCCUAUACCAGAAAAACAGGUAGCAGAUCACCUGGACGUAUCUGCCUGCCCUUCUUCCAGCACUGCAAUCCAUCUGCGUCUGCAUGAUGAAAGGUGAUGGGCCCCGAUUGCUUCUUUCCUUGCUGGUGGGAAUCUUGUGUCUCUGGAACCCCAGUCCUGUGGAACCCCAGUCUGUGUUGACCGACCACGAAAUUGAGGAAUUCCUGAAAGGCUUCCUGGGAGAGGGGGAUGAGGACUUGGAAGGGCCAGAGACAGGAAAGGUGGCUGUUGGUGAGGAGCUUCCCGAAAAUCAAGGAAACCCGAAUCCUGCAGAAAGAGAGAAAGCUCCAACGGAGGAGGUCGAAGAAGUAACACAGGAGAGAGUGACGGAGAAGCCCAAGAAAGGGAAGAAGGAGAAGCCACCUAAACCUACAAAAAAGCCAAAGGAAAAACCACCCAAGAGCUCCCCAAAGCCAAAACCUCCCAGAAAGGAGAAGCCUCCCAAACCCACCAAAAAGCCAAAGGAGAAACGUCCCAAAGCCACCAAGAAACCUAAGGAGAAGCGUCCCAAGGCCACCAAGAAACCAGCAGCAGGAAAGAAGGUGGAAAGGCCUUCUCCUCCAGUUCCACCAGAAGAAGAGAGGUAUCACUUUCCAGAAACACCACUGAUCCCACCCACAACAGGAGUUGAAGAUGGCUAUGGAUUGCCAGAUCUCUUACCCUACGGACGAGAAGACGACUUCUCCCGAGUCAACGAAGAAGGGGGCGAAUGUAAGUUCAGGGCAUUUCUCACCCAUCAUACAACCUCAUGUCUUCACCACACAGUGAC
rnacentral:lncRNA from 1 species